rnacentral:rRNA from 1 species
UACGUAGGGUGCGAGCGUUGUCCGGAAUUACUGGGCGUAAAGAGCUCGUAGGUGGUUUGUCGCGUUGUCCGUGAAAACUCACAGCUCAACUGUGGGCGUGCGGGCGAUACGGGCAGACUGGAGUACUGCAGGGGGAGACUGGAAUUCCUGGUGUAGCGGUGGAAUGCGCAGAUAUCAGGAGGAACACCGGUGGCGAAGGCGGGUCUCUGGGGCAGUAACUGACGCUGAGGAGCGAAAGCGUGGGGGAGCGAACAGG